ACGUUUGCUAGCGAUAGCGAUGGCUAGCAGCUGCUAGUUAGCUUACGCUCCUGCUAACUGUUGCAUGUUUUGAUGAAAAAAAAAUGUUCAAAACUUUCCCGGUCUAACGGUUAACUGAAACAAUCUUCGGAAUCAAAAUGUGUUAAUAAGCCUCGAAAUAUGCGAAGAAAUUGCUCGGCGACUUGUUUGCUAUAUAAAUUUAAGUCUUAAGUAUGGUUCUUUUUCCACUUACCCGUCCAUUGCACAAGAAAAAAACUGCAGGUCUGAAGCGAAGUCAGAGAGUCAGUGAAGGCAUGCUAAUGUGCUAGCAGAGCGCUGCUGGAGAUUCCUGCUCUAAUAGGUUCCAGACCAAGAGCUCCAGGAUGGACAGAAGCAAAGCUAAAGCAAGACUAGAGACUGCAGGCGGGGGACUCAAAGGGGGACAGAGCUAUCACAUUCAUCAGUGGUAUGAAGGAGGCCUGGAAGCACUGGGUGACCAUUCCGACCUGGGUAAGGUCACUGUGAGCGUCAGCAAGGACGAAGCAGAAGCAUUAUUAAUUUUAAGUGUUAAUUAAAUCUCUUGGAUACAGCAGUUUUGAAAAAUAGGGUAAAAUGAUCAGGUUA